rnacentral:rRNA from 1 species
CGAUGGAUAGGGGUUCUGAGAGGAAGGUCCCCCACAUUGGAACUGAGACACGGUCCAAACUCCUACGGGAGGCAGCAGUGAGGAAUAUUGGUCAAUGGGCGAGAGCCUGAACCAGCCAAGUAGCGUGAAGGAUGACUGCCCUAUGGGUUGUAAACUUCUUUUAUAAAGGAAUAAAGUCGGGUAUGGAUACCCGUUUGCAUGUACUUUAUGAAUAAGGAUCGGCUAACUCCGUGCCAGCAGCCGCGGUAAUACGGAGGAUCCGAGCGUUAUCCGGAUUUAUUGGGUUUAAAGGGAGCGUAGAUGGAUGUUUAAGUCAGUUGUGAAAGUUUGCGGCUCAACCGUAAAAUUGCAGUUGAUACUGGAUAUCUUGAGUGCAGUUGAGGCAGGCGGAAUUCGUGGUGUAGCGGUGAAAUGCUUAGAUAUCACGAAGAACUCCGAUUGCGAAGGCAGCCUGCUAAGCUGCAACUGACAUUGAGGCUCGAAAGUGUGGGUAUCAAACAGGAUUAGAUACCCUGGUAGUCCACACGGUAAACGAUGAAUACUCGCUGUUUGCGAUAUACUGCAAGCGGCCAAGCGAAAGCGUUAAGUAUUCCACCUGGGGAGUACGCCGGCAACGGUGAAACUCAAAGGAAUUGACGGGGGCCCGCACAAGCGGAGGAACAUGUGGUUUAAUUCGAUGAUACGCGAGGAACCUUACCCGGGCUUAAAUUGCAGAUGAAUUACGGUGAAAGCCGUAAGCCGCAAGGCAUCUGUGAAGGUGCUGCAUGGUUGUCGUCAGCUCGUGCCGUGAGGUGUCGGCUUAAGUGCCAUAACGAGCGCAACCCUUGUUGUCAGUUACUAACAGGUUCCGCUGAGGACUCUGACAAGACUGCCAUCGUAAGAUGUGAGGAAGGUGGGGAUGACGUCAAAUCAGCACGGCCCUUACGUCCGGGGCUACACACGUGUUACAAUGGGGGGUACAGAGGGCCGCUACCACGCGAGUGGAUGCCAAUCCCCAAAACCUCUCUCAGUUCGGACUGGAGUCUGCAACCCGACUCCACGAAGCUGGAUUCGCUAGUAAUCGCGCAUCAGCCACGGCGCGGUGAAUACGUUCCCGGGCCUUGUACACACCGCCCGUCAAGCCAUGGGAGCCGGGGGUACCUGAAGUGCGUAACCGCGAGGAGCGCCCUAGGGUAAAACUGGUGACUGGGGCUAAGUCGUAACAAGGUAGCCGUACCGGAAGGUGCGGCUG